CGCCGCGGUUAUACGAGCGGCCCAAAUUAAUGAGAUAACGGCGUAAAGAGUGUAUAAGAAAAACCUUGUCUUAUUAAAAUUAAAAUAGUGCUUAACUGUUAUACGUACCCGCACUAAUGAAAAACAAUUAUAAAAGAAACUUUAUAAAAACAAGGCCUCUUAAAACACGAUAGCUAAAAAA
rnacentral:rRNA from 2 species